rnacentral:rRNA from 1 species
GUGCAGCAGCCACGGUAAUACGGAGGAUCCAAGCGUUAUCCGGAUUCAUUGGGUUUAAAGGGUCCGCAGGCGGGAUACUAAGUCAGUGGUGAAAGCCUCCAGCUCAACUGGGGAAUUGCCAUUGAUACUGGUAUUCUUGAGUAUAGUUGAAGUGGGCGGAAUGAGUCAUGUAGCGGUGAAAUGCAUAGAUAUGACUCAGAACACCGAUUGCGAAGGCAGCUCACUAAACUAUUACUGACGCUCAGGGACGAAAGCGUGGGGAGCAAACAGGAUUAGAAACCCCAGUAGUCC